rnacentral:rRNA from 1 species
AGAGAGAGACAUGCGCGCAUAUCAAUAAGCGGAGGAAAAGGCUGCGGAACUGAACGACCGCUACCUACGCUUAGGAUGUUGAAGUCAUCGUAUCGCGCGUGCUUGAUCUAUACAUGACUCUGCGCAUAUCAAUAAGCGGAGGAAAAGAAACUAACAAGGAUUCCCCUAGUAACGGCGAGUGAAGCGGGAAGAGCUCAAAUUUGAAAUCUUAAAGGGUUUCCCUUUACGAAUUGUAGUUUAAAGAAGUGUUUUCUGUUGAGGUUUUGGUAAAAGUUCUUUGGAAUAGGACAUCAUAGAGGGUGAGAAUCCCGUAUUUGACCUUUACUUUCAACUUUGUGAUACACUUUCAAAGAGUCGGAUUGUUUGGGAAUGCAGUCCAAAAUGGGUGGUAAAUUUCAUCUAAAGCUAAAUAUUGGCGAGAGACCGAUAGCGAACAAGUACCGUGAGGGAAAGAUGAAAAGAACUUUGAAAAGAGAGUUAAACAGUACGUGAAAUUGUCAAAAGGGAAGCGUUUGACACCAGUGUUGUUUUUCUGAAAAUCAAUUAAAGAACUGUUUAUGCUAAGCUGUUUAGACUUUAUCAGCUAACUGUUUAGUUUUGAGCUUUUCUUUAAUGCACUUUUCAGUUAACAAGUCAACAUCAAUUUCUUUGCUGUAAAAAAGCUUGAGGAAGGUGGCUUGAGAUUCGUCUUAAGUGUUUAUAGCCUCUUGCCUAUGCAGUCGGAGAGAUUGAGGUCUGCAGCGUAGAUCCUUCGGGGCUAAAUGCAUUUGUGCUAAGUUAUAGCAUUUUAUAGACAUACUUGUUGACUAUGAUUUGUCUUGUAGCUUACUCGCUUAUGUUAUUUUACCUACGCUUAGGAUGUUGAGCGCAUGUCUCUCUCU